UACAGAGGGUGCGAGCGUUGUCCGGAAUCACUGGGCGUAAAGGGCGCGUAGGUGGCCUGAUAAGUAGGGGGUGAAAUCUCGAGGCUCAACUUCGAGGCUGCCUCCUAAACUGUCAGGCUUGAGCAGAGUAGAGGCAGGCGGAAUUCCGGGUGUAGCGGUGAAAUGCGUAGAUAUCGGGAGGAACAUCGAUGGCGAAAGCAACCGUCUGGGCCUGAACUGACACUGUGACACGAAAGCGUGGGGAGCAAACAGG
rnacentral:rRNA from 1 species